UGGGGAUUCUUGCACAAUGGAGGAAACUCUGAUGCAGCGAUGCCGCGUGAGUGAAGAAGGCCUUUGGGUUGUAAAGCUCUUUCGUCGGGGAAGAAAAUGACUGUACCCGAAUAAGAAGGUCCGGCUAACUUCAUGCCAGCAGCCGCGGUAAUAUG
rnacentral:rRNA from 1 species